AAGAUCAAAUUCUGUGCACCUUAUUAAUAAACCGUACUAUCUGCAGACAAGCUGAUGAGCCCAGAAUAUGAACGAAACGCGUUUAAUUACAAGUUAAUUCUCCCAUUCUGUCAUUGAAGACGCUUGUGGGCGUUCCUAGUGCUGUAGUUGUAUUGUUAUUGGUAGACUUCACGUCUGGCCAUAUCUUGCAGUCACAAGUGAUUAUAUAAAACUAAGAUAUUGUAAAUGACCAUUAAAUUCCCAAUCUCUGAAGUAGGCCGUCAUCUUUACCUCUAACCAUAGAGGGCAGUGUUGCCAUAGAAUACCUGAGAAAGGCUUUCACAAGAAAGGACUUUAUUAUUGAAAAUGUUACUUAAAAAAAAAAAAAAAAAACCUUUUGUUUGUUUUGGUUGACUAAUAAUUCUCGCUGCAUACUUAAUGUGGACAUUGUAUUCUUAUUUGUUUUACAAGAGUGUUUACAUUUUUACCACACAUGCCUUUAUUUUGAAGUCUGGAAAAGGAAGUGCAGCGGCACCCUGUGUGUUCAUUGGCGCACUUUUUACGUGAAACAUCAUUCUGAUUUAAUGUUACCAGAGAAAGGAUGAACUUUUGGGUACACACUGUACAAAUGUUUGUUUAAAAGGGUUUCUUUCUACAUCUUAGCUCCUGGCUGAAGGGCACAAGUGAAUAACUGACUGGGAUUUGAGACUUCACCAGCAUAACUCUUGCAUAAGGACAAUGAUCCAAAACAAACAUCAAAACCAACACAAAAAUGUGUCACUGAGCACAAAAUGAAGCUUCUGCCAUGGCCAUCCCAGUCCCCUGACCUGAACCCUAAAGAAAAUGAGUGGAGUGAACUGAAGAGAAGCACCAACAUGGAGCUGGGAAUCUGAAGGGUCUGGAGAGAUUCUGUAUGAAGGAAUGGUCUCUGAUCUCUUGUCAGGUGUUCUCCAAACUCAUCAGGCAUUAUAGAAGAAGACUCAGCUGUUAUCUUGGCAAAAAGAGGAUGCAAAAAGUAUUGAAUAAAAGGGUGCUAAUAAUUGUGA